rnacentral:rRNA from 1 species
UACGUAGGGUGCAAGCGUUGUCCGGAAUUAUUGGGCGUAAAGCGCUCGUAGGCGGUUUGUUGCGUCGGCUGUGAAAUCCCGAGGCUCAACCUCGGGUCUGCAGUCGAUACGAGCAAACUAGAGUGUUGCAGGGGAGACUGGAAUUCCUGGUGUAGCGGUGAAAUGCGCAGAUAUCAGGAGGAACACCAGUGGCGAAGGCGGGUCUCUGGGCAGCAACUGACGCUGAGGAGCGAAAGCGUGGGGAGCGAACAGG